rnacentral:rRNA from 1 species
UACGGAGGGUGCAAGCGUUAUCCGGAUUUACUGGGCGUAAAGGGCGCGUAGGCGGUCAGCCAAGGUCGGUGGGGAAAUCUCCGGGCUUAACCCGGAAAGGUCAACUGAUACUGUGCGACUAGAGUGCGGAAGGGGCAACUGGAAUUCUCGGUGUAGCGGUGAAAUGCGCAGAUAUCAGGAGGAACACCGAUGGCGAAGGCAGGUCUCUGGGCCAUAACUGACGCUGAGAAGCGAAAGCAUGGGGAGCGAACAGG